rnacentral:lncRNA from 1 species
CCUACCUGUAGCAGAGCAGCCCGUCAACCGUCCACUGUAACUUGCAAUUUAAUUCCCAAAAAUCAAAACCUUCAAAUUUCAAGUUGUAUUAGAUGGAAGAAGAAGAUGUAAGUUUAAAUUUUAUGAUUUUGUUUGUAAAUUUCAGUUUUUUGUCAAAGUAUGCGUAAAAUAUAUAUCUCUAGAUUGGUAAUUUUUGAAAGAAUUUUACCUGAAUUUCAACGCCCUACCAUUCUGAAUUCUACAUACUUUAUUGAUUCAAAGCCCUACCUGUCUGAAUUUCAUACUUUAUUGCAUAGUUUAUCAUGCCCUACCUGUAUUAGGUGGAAUUCCUUUUACCUGAAUUUCAUGCGAAAACGUUAUCUCAAUGAAGUAUGAAUGAAUUACAUUCAAAUGACUGGUUGAUUUUCUGAAUGAAUUAAGUUCAGGUGACUGGUUGAUUUUCUCAUGUAUUCAAAAAAUGGUUUAUGAGAUUAAUGGUCAAUCUCUUCCAAACUGCUGCAAAAUAGUUUAUGAGAUUAAUGGUCAAUGUCUUACGAAUGAAUUAAGUUCAAAUUACUGGUCAAUUUUGUAAGUUCGAUUAAGUUUAGCUGGGUGAUUCUCUCAUCUAUUAAAAAAUGCUAGGAACAAGCUAUUGCAGAUCAUGAUCAUCCACCAUACAACUAAUGAUGGUUUAAACUUUCAUUAAGUUGGGAAAUGCUUCCAUUUCCAUUAGAAUUAGGUGGAAUUCCCACUUCUCUAGUUUUUCAAAUGCUGGUUUAGUCACAGCCUACUGCUAAUUUAACUAGGCCAUACAAGGUUGUGGAAGUAAAAAAGUUCAAUUGAAAUUAUGGAAAAAACAACAAGUGAACUAGAGAACCAGUUGACUACACUGGUUAGACCAAUUAGCAAAUUGGUCAUUAUAUAUAGUAUUAUGCUUGACCCCAGUUGUGUUUCUUAAGGUUCUCAAUAGUAUUAUAUAUAGUAUUAUGCAUGACACCAUUUGUUGUGUUUCUUAAGAUUCUCAAUUACCAAGCUACGCAUAGCAGUUCUUCUUGAUGAAAGUAAUCCAUGACCUGCUAUAAUUUGCUAAAUAAAUUAUUUUCUCAGUCUUUGAAUGCUUCAUUUUUAUGCUUCUGUUAAUGAAUUUCAGUUUCUUCAUCUACAUCUUAGUUUUUAUGAACAAAAAUGUCCCAUGGUGUUAUCACAUUUCACAAUUCAUGCGGACUAUGUCUGAAUAAACAAUCAAUGCUGUUGAAUAUUAUUUUUUUAUCAUUCAAUGAAAAUAGUUAAUAUAUAUAUAUUUUUUUUUUUAUAGGAAUUGACCCACAAUUAGUAAAAAAUGGAAAUAAAUUUAUCAUUCAAUGAAAAUAGUUAAUAUUAUUUUUUUAUAAGAAUUGACCCGUCGGUUGAACCAUCGAGUCGCCAGUUGAACCACUGACCCGUCGACUCACUGCGUUGUCCGGGUUGACAUCCGUGUAGGGUCUGAUAACUUGGUUUAAACACGUUUUUUUGCAGUUGACCGUUCUUUCGUAGAAUUCAUGUUGAUUUUAUUUUUUAUUUUUAAUUUGAAUAUCAUUUUAAUGAUAGACAUCGGUCAAUAGAUUUUUGUAAAUGUGAAAGAAAUAAAUGCGUCUUAAAUUUUAAUUGCCAUGAUGCUUAAAUAAUCUUUAAGAAUCAAAACAAAAAUUAAAAUUCCAACCAAAAUAGCACUUCAAAGAUUAUUUAUUUUUCUCUAUUGCAAAAUCGUAGUGGACCAUGUUUAUUAUCCAUGAACCAUAUUAACUUAUCCAUGAAUUUAUCAACUCUAAUUUAAAACAAAAUUUACUCUACUGGUUUGAUAAUAAUUUUUAUGAAAAACUGCAGCAACAAUCCCUUUUCUUUCACCUUUUUACAGACUUUACCUUAACCUUCAAUGUUUGCUCCCAGAGGUUCCUAACCUUUGAAAAAUAAGCACCUGAGGUCCAAAUAGAUGGAAACUAUCCAGUUGACUAUUAGUCGACAAACAAAAGUGAAUUUUGACUAAUUUUGACCAAAUUAAAAUGGGCAAAAUUGUAACUUUGCUAUUAUAUACGUAAAAUAUUUUUAAAAAUUAGAAAUAAAAUGAAAGAGAAAAGAAAAAAAAAAUCAACUUCUUCCACAUCGAUCUCACCAUCUCCCAUUCCACUCAUCCCAAACCAAAACCCAGAAACAACUCGCCGACCACCAUUGCAAACCAAAACCAGCAUCUCAAAUAACAACACAAAGAAUCUCCCCCAUUUGCCAUUAUAUACAUAAAAUAAUUUAAAGAUCUAGGCCUCCAUUUUCUCUCUAACUCUUCACUAGAUUUUUUAUUUCUCCAACAAAAAGAAUUUCCCUCCUAAACUUUAUUUUCCCUCACAAUACAAAUACUCAUCUUCAGAUUUCAUGAAACAGUGCUUGAGAUUCUGUGUUUUGGGCUCGACGAGGGAUAGAACAGCCCGUAUGCACAGAGAGAUGAUUCUUGAAGUAGGCUUUGAGUUUGAAGGGUGAAAUGGGUUUUAUGUGAAACCAAUAAAAUGUGGAUUUCAGGGAUUUUGUGGGAUGGAUUGUAGGGGUUUGAGAGAUGAGAUUUGUAGCUUCCAUUGUUGGGGGAAAGGGAAGAAAAUGCAGGAGACAACAAAGAAAGAUAAUGAUUUUUUGGUUUGGGAAGGUUCUUAGGCCAUCUCCAACCCUUCACCAAAUUUUGCACCAUUUUGCACCAAAUUUUGCACUAAAUUUUACGCCAAACCAAAAUUCUUCUCCAACCAUUACACCAAAAUUUACACCAAAUGAACAGUGCUUUAUUAUUUUAUUCAUUCUUUCGAUUUUUGACAAUAUAUUUAUUUUAAAAUAUUAUUUAUUUAUUUUAUAACUAUAUAUAUUACUAAAUCAUAACUUCAUUAAAUUAACCAAUAUAUUGAUUACUAUAUUAUCACAUGUCAUAUAUAUUAUGUUAAAUUGACAAAAAUAAUUGAUUAUAUUAUUAAUUUAUGAUAAACAAUUACGUUAAAUUUACAAAAAUAAUAAACUUUAAUAAUAUAAACUUUACAUUAAAUUAAAUUUUAAACGUAAACUUUACGAAUUUAACUGUACGUUAAAUUAACAAUUACGUUAAUUAUUAUUGAUUAUAUUAUUAAAAAUAAUAAAUUUUAAUAAUAUAAUUAAUAGUGUAAUUAAUUAAGUAAUUAUUAUUAUUAUCAUCAUUAUCAUUAUCAUUAUUAUUAUAGAACGAAAAUGACACAAAUGCCCUUAACCCUUAUCUUUGAAAAAAGAAAAAUAAGGGCAAAAUGGACAUUACACCAUUUGGUGCAAAAUGGUGCAACAUGAAUAGUGUUGCACCAUAUUUGGUGCAACACUAUUCAUUACACCAUUUUUUGCACCAAAAUUUGGUGCAAUGGUGCAAUGGUUGGAGGAAGUUUGCACCAAAUUUUGGUGCAAUUUGGUGCAAUGGUGCAAUGAUUGGAGAUGGCCUUAGAAUUGGAGAAUUAGGCUUAAACCAGUUUUUGGAAAAGAUACAUAGUGCUUGGAAUGCGAAAUACAGGUACUUGCAGCUCAUUUGAUUUGACGUCGACAAUGGUGUUAGAGGUUGUGAUGGCAUUAGGUAUGGCCGUGGAUGGGGUGGAGUGGGGUGAAGGAGACACAUUUUUUAUUUCUUUUCUCAUUUUUUUGGCUUUUUAUUCUUUUUUUCUGAUUUUUUUAGUUUUUUAUAAUAUAGGUUUGACUAAGUUAUUAUUUUGCCCUUACCAAAUUUGGUCAAAUCAAUUUAUGUGGUGAACUAAUGGUCAUUUCCAUUCAUUUGGACUCUAACUACAUAUUUAUGUAAGAUUUGGGACCUUCAUUGACACAAAUUGAAGGUGAGGGUAAAAUCUGCAAAAAUUGAAUAGAUUAGAACUGUUACUGCAAUUUUUCCUAAUUUUUAUUCAAAGGAAUUUUUAAAGCAUUUUUGCGUUGCAGGCAUAUUUACUUUUUAAGUUUUAAUUGUUGGAAUAUUGUUGCUUUUAUCUUCUUCUUCUUCCCUCCUUUUUUUUUUUUAUUUUUUUUGUACUUGUUGCUUUGCUGGCAUAUUUUUAAAUUGAAAUAUUAUUGUUGUCUUGUUAGCUUAUUAUUGAAUAACUUGAAUUGUUGUUGCCUUGUCGACUUAAUGUUAAAUUGUGGCUCCCUUUUCAUUCGUGCUUUUAGAAUUUACGAAUAUAAUGUCAACCUUAUGCUACAAGAGGAAAUAUACUAGUUUCAUUUUUUAAGAAAACAAAUCAAUAUAAGAAAGUAUACUUCAUGAUGGAUUGACCAAAAAUCAACAUGUAAUUCCAAUUAUGCAACACUUCAUGAAUGAGAACUUGUUAUGAAUAUCAUGUUUAAAAUUCUCAACCAGAACGAUACAAAUAAAUGUCCUUUAAUGACUUUUUUUUUUGUUACAUAUAAAUUUUAUUACAUUAACUUUCUUAAAUUUCAGUCCCUUAACAAAAAUUCUAGAUCCGGCCCCGUAAAGCUAUUUGUUUUCUGGUAAGUGAACUAAGUAAAGUUAGUGAGGAUUUUAGUAUUUGUUUCCACCAUAUUUGCACAUUGUAUCUGUAAAAGUAAAGAAUAUAAUUCUGAAUGAAAAAUCAAUUUUUUUUUUUAUCAUUCUUUUUUUUUUUUUUUUUUUUUUUUAUGGCCUAGGCACUCAAAUUAGCCCCUGUUUUUUAUUUCAAGGUCCGGGCAGUUGCCUAGUCCAGAUAACUGGUGGAGUACCCAGUUAUAACGACUUCCCAAUUUUUUCGUUUUGGUCAUCUACUUCAUUCUUUCCUCAAUUGUGAUCCUUUCACUUUAAAUUACUUCUAUUUUGGACCUUCAACUUCUAUUUGCAUUCAAUUUGAACUAUUAACGUCUUAAUCUUCAAUUUGUGGUCCGAAUCAACUAUUAAAAUAUUGCAAUUUAGUACCCAUACUUUACUUUUUCCCAGUUUUCAUCAAUUUUCAUUUUUUUUUAAUUCCUCGUCCAUUUAUUGAGUUUCACCUAAUAAACAAAAUAUAUAAUGAAUUAGGUCAUAAUUAAUCAAAAUAAUUUCGAAAUAUCUAUAUUUAAAGGGCCAAAUAAGUAUAUAAAACGCACUUGUCAACGAGUCAUGCAAUCUAAAUUGUUUUUGCCCAUUAAACCUUUUCUGUGGGGAUCUCUAUUCACAAACAUUGGGUCAACCAUUUCUUUUUCCCAAAAUCUUGGAACUUAAAAUAUAAGAAAAUUGUAUUAUUGGUAUCCAAUCUCAAAAGGGUUAAAAUUGGUUAAAUUUUUAAUGCACAUAAUUAAACAUAAGAAAGAUUGUGUUGCAGGAAGCUGACUUAAGGUGUUCUUACGAAAGGACACAAUUUGCCCAUGUUUAGUUUAUAUUAAAAUCAAAUUUUUAGCAGAUUUUAAUAAAAGUCGGUGAAAUAUAUAAUUAAAAUUAAUUGAUGACUUUCAAUUGAAACUAAAAUUAGAUUUUAAUAUGCAAGGUUACUUGGCAAAGUUAAAACCAUGACGUGUUUACAUUAUUGAAUAAAACUUUAAGUCUGUAACAUGUAGUACCAGACUUGAUAGUUGUCAAAGACUAAGUUUGCUUAUUUCCGAAACUCAAGAUCAAAUAUUUUUUCCUUGAAUUAUGCCAUUUGUACACCUUUUAUUUUACAUCGUUGUUGAAAUUAUAAUUAUUGUCAACAAAUAGAUGGAUGAAUUUUUUUUAUUUUUUUGUUUAACUAUCCAUUGGUGUAAUGCCACAUGACAAGGUGUAAAUCAUGAUGUACACCAUUGUUUUCCCUUUGCUUUAUUACUUGUAUACCAAUAAAGAAAGAGAGAAAUCAAUACGGGAUUCCUGGUUGCUUCAUUUCCUAAUUAAAGGUUGGAAAGUGAAGUUUUUUAAUAAUUAGGUGACAAUGGAUUUGAAUUUAAGAUAUUUUUCCAUUUAAAUACUAUGUUUAUCUAUUUUAUCUAAAGUUUUAUUAAAAAAGAAAGAUUAUUUAUUUAAAUUUUAUUUUCAACUCUGAAUAUCAAAAAGUUCUGACCCUAACAACUUUUCCUUCCCUCGACAACACGUAUGAACCCAAAGUUCAAUGAUUGUAUAAGAAAUUUAUAAAACAUUUAACUUAUUUAUAAAAACAGCUCCAAUUAUAGCAACCUGAUAAUAUAUAAAAUCACACAGUUAGUCUUUGUUUUUUCAUUAAUGGUAAAAGGUUGCACUAUCUAAUAAUAUAUAAAAUCAAAGAAGCUAAUAAAUACCGGCAAUACUUUUUUGCCCUAAUUAUAUAUGUAUUUCAUCUCCAUUUGAAAUUUGAUAUUUAGGUACAGCUUGUUGGAAAUAAUUGAGAGAUGGAGAAGAAGCAAAAGAGAAAAUCACAAGAAAAUAUGGCAACAAGAUGGAUCAAAACAAAAUUUAUAUCAACAAAUGUGAAGGCUUGAACGCGGGAUCGCUGUCUUCAAACGUUAUUUGCCCCUUCUCCGAUGUAUUCGAAAUGCUAAAAGAUAUUCCGACAAAUGGUUUGAAAAAUUAUAACAAGCUUGUAAAGAAUUUCACCAAAGUAUAAGAUGAAAUUCUCCAAAACUUGAAGAACACGAGGAUAUGAAUAUAAGUCGGGAUUUGUUUUUUCUUGGAACAAAG